AUGUUUCAGUCUUAUCCC
rnacentral:siRNA from 1 species